GACAGAGGUGCCGAGCGUUAGGCGGAAUCACUGGGCUUAAAGCGUGUGUAGGCGGGUCGUUAAGUGUCCGUGUGAAAUCCCACCGCUCAACGGUGGAACUGCCGGGCAUACUGGCGAUCUCGAGUCCGGGAGAGGUGAGUGGAACUGCGAGUGUAGAGGUGAAAUUCGUAGAUAUUCGCAAGAACACCAGUGGCGAAGGCGGCUCACUGGCCCGGUACUGACGCUGAGGUGCGAAAGCGUGGGGAGCAAACAGG
rnacentral:rRNA from 1 species